rnacentral:tRNA from 1 species
UAGCUCAAUGGUAGAGUGCUUGCCUAGCAUGUAUGAGGUCCUGGGUUCAAUCCCCAG